GACGAACGCUGGCGGCGUGCUUAACACAUGCAAGUCGAACGGAAAGGCCCAGCUUGCUGGGUGCUCGAGUGGCGAACGGGUGAGUAACACGUGGGUGAUCUGCCCCUAACUUCGGGAUAAGCUUGGGAAACUGGGUCUAAUACCGGAUAGGACAAUCGUUUAGUGUCGGUUGUGGAAAGUUUUUUCGGUUAGGGAUGAGCCCGCGGCCUAUCAGCUUGUUGGUGGGGUAAUGGCCUACCAAGGCGUCGACGGGUAGCCGGCCUGAGAGGGUGGACGGCCACAUUGGGACUGAGAUACGGCCCAGACUCCUACGGGAGGCAGCAGUGGGGAAUAUUGCACAAUGGGCGCAAGCCUGAUGCAGCGACGCCGCGUGGGGGAUGACGGCCUUCGGGUUGUAAACCUCUUUCGACAGGGACGAAGCUUUGGUGACGGCACCUGUAGAAGAAGCACCGGCUAACUACGUG
rnacentral:rRNA from 1 species